UCCCUCUUAGCUCAGUGGUAGAGCGCGUCACUAGUAUGGUUGUGAUCAUAUGACGAGGUCAGUCGUUCAAGUCGGCUAGAGGGAA